UUGCAGGACCCUGGCAGGUGAUGCUUAAGCAAACGGAUAAUUCGUAUGCUUGUGUUGCUGAAAGUGAAACCCGCUUCACCCUUAAUGAAACGAAAGAAGAACUGCUAAGGGUUCUUGGACUGAAGGAGGAACAAGGAAGCCAACUUGAGUUCCUUCGCAGGGGCUAUAAGACUGCAACAUGGUGGGAGGAAGACGUUGAUUUGGAGUUAUCAUCAACAUGGCGUAACUAAGUUGAACCCGAUAAAAAAAAACGGGGCCUAGUUAUGAUCAUUUCAUAUUGUUUUUACUUGUAUAUCAAUCAGUGCACAUAUUUCCUCUUGAUUUUUUUUUUCAAGUUUUA